GUUAGCACGAUUAGACGUGUUAGUUUUAGUAGUAAGAAGUUUAGGCCGAAAUAGUUUUACCCGCGGAUUGUUUGAUGUGGCAAACUUUCCGACCAAAACGCUAAGCGUCACGACACACACUAUAUAUGCAAAUUUGCAACAUUUUGCUGCAAACUGUCAUGUUUAUUUUGUUCGAUCCAGUCAGAGUAAUUAAGAAUCAAGUUUAAGUGAAGUUAUUUAGUACUAUAAUACGAUAAAAUAGAUCCUGUUUCCUCUUCGGGAACACCUGAAAAUCCAUAAGAUCCGCAUUCCGACCGGGUUCCGCAUUUCGAUGGAUGGUGCGAAUUUGCAUCCGUGAGCUGUUACUACUGGAGUGCAUUUGACGAAUCCUUGUCAAUGAUCGCCUGUAAAUUGAGUGACUGCAGUGUGAAUGCGUAGGUCAAUAUUCCGCCGGAAAGAAAAUGGAUUCAGACCAAAGAUCAAGCUCAACAGCGGAUGUUUUUUGGAUGGGCUGAUUUGUAUGUUGUAAAAAUGUUAUGAAAAUGAGCAUAUUCUGAUUGAAAUGUUGUGAAAAAUGGUGCUUGAUUUAUUUGUAUAACUUUAUCGCGUAAUGUCUCAAAUAAAAUUUAAUAUAAUACAAUCGA